rnacentral:tRNA from 1 species
GCGGCCGUAGCUCAAUUGGUAGAGUAUCGGCCUUCCAAGCCGAGUGUUGCGGGUUCGAGUCCCGUCGGCCGCUCCA